rnacentral:rRNA from 1 species
AACGAACGCUGGCGGCAGGCCUCAAACAUGCAAGUCUAGGGGUGCAGCAAUGCAUCACCGGCGGACGGGUGCGUAACGCGUGGGAAUAUACCUUUUGGUUCGGAACAACUGCGGGAAACUGCAGCUAAUACCGAAUGUGCCCUAACGGGGAAAGAUUUAUCGCCAAAGGAUUAGCCCGCGUAGGAUUAGCUAGUUGGUGAGGUAAUCGGCUCACCAAGGCUCCGAUCCUUAGCGUUCUGAGAGGAAGAUCAGCCACACUGGACUGAGACACGGCCCAGACUCCUACGGGAGGCAGCAGUUGGGAAUCUUGGACAAUGGGGG